rnacentral:lncRNA from 1 species
GUGUUUCUUCUUCCUCCUCGUCAGAGCUGUCCUCGUCGGAGUCAGAGUCCUCAUCACCCUCCUCACUAUCAUCCUACAAUAAUAUGUGACAACAGUUUCAGUCAAGCAUCAAACUAUUCAUUUCUACCAUGAUAGGCGGUCAUUCACAAUCUCUGCACAUCUACACCAUAAUAGGCAACUAACAAUUUCAUUCAGUGUCAAUCUCUGCAUAUCUACCAUAAUAGGUAGAUUAACAAUUUCAGUCAAGCAUCAAUGUGCACAGAAGGUAGAUUAACAAUUUCAGUCAAGCAUCAAUGUAUUCAUAUAUCUACCAUAAUAGGUAGAUUAACAGUUUCAGUCAAGCAUCAAUUUAUUAAAACAAAAGGUGAUUUAACAAUUUCAUUCAAGCAUCAAUUUAUUCAUAUAUCUUCCACAAAAGGUGAUUUAACAAUUUCAUUCAAGCAUCAAUGUAUUCAUAUAUCUACCCCAAUAGGUAGAUUAACAGUUUCAGUCAAGCAUAAAUGUAUUCAUAUAUCUACCCCAAUGGGUAGAUUAACAGUUUCAGUCAAGCAUCAAUGUAUUCAUAUAUCUACCAUAAUAGGUAGAUUAACAGUUUCAGUCAAGCAUCAAUUUAUUAAAACAAAAGGUGAUUUAACAAUUUCAUUCAAGCAUCAAUGUAUGCAUAUAUCUUCCACAGAAGGUGAUUUAACAAUUUCAGUCAAGCAUCAAUGUAUUCAUAUAUCUACCCCAAUAGGUAGAUUAACAGUUUCAGUCAAGCAUCAAUGUAUUCAUAUAUCUACCCCAAUGGGUAGAUUAACAGUUUCAGUCAAGCAUCAAUGUAUUCAUAUAUCUACCACAAAAGGUGAUUUAACAAUUGCAGUCAAGCAUCAUUCUGUAGAUAUAUAGACCAGGCCGUGACAUAAAGAAAUUAUUGGGUGUCAAUUAACUCACAGAAUCAUCCCCCAUGGGAAUCAAUGCUCCAUCAGCAGAGUCAUCUUCGCUGUCGUCGUCAUCACUGCCAUCAUCAUCACUGUCAUCAUCCUUCUUAGAUUUUCCAAUGUCCUUGGCAGCGGCCUUUGAUUUUGAAGAUCCAGUGUCAAUUAAAACCUGCUUCUUCUGCUCCUUGGCUUCAGGUUUGCCUUGAAAAGGAACAAGAAAUGCAUUGACAAGGGUCAACCCUCCAUUUCC